UGGGGAAUAUUGGGCAAUGGGCGAAAGCCUGACCCAGCAACGCCGCGUGAGGGAAGAAGGUUUUCGGAUUGUAAACCUCUGUCCUAAGGGAAGAAGGAAGUGACGGUACCUUAGGAGGAAGCCCCGGCUAACUACGUGCCAGCAGCCGCGGUAAUACGUAGGGGGCGAGCGUUGUCCGGAAUGACUGGGCGUAAAGGGCGUGUAGGCGGCCUGUUAAGUUAGAAGUGAAAGUCCUGAUUUCAAGUUGGGAAUUGCUUUUAAUACUGAUGGGCUUGAGUGCAGAAGAGGUAAGUGGAAUUCCCAGUGUAGCGGUGAAAUGCGUAGAGAUUGGGAGGAACACCAGUGGCGAAGGCGACUUACUGGGCUGUAACUGACGCUGAGGCGCGAAAGCGUGGGGAGCGAACAGG
rnacentral:rRNA from 2 species